CAUACAGAUCUUUUGACUCAGCUGUUAUCAAGGAUCACUCCCUGCUUAUCUUUCAAAAAGCAUAUGUCUAAAUUAAGGCUAUACCCUCGCUAUUAGCUAUCAGGAAGCUGCACAGGAGCUGCUGACAAUAUACAAGUAUGUGUUUGUUUCAGCUAACAAUUGCCUUGCCGGUCUUUUUUCUUAGAAUGCUAGCAUUUAACAAUAGCUCGUAUAAUUGUCUUCUGCCAGAAUAUCUUAACAACUUAAUUCAUCGCUUCUCAGACUCCAGAAAGCAGCUGUUUGUGUCUUGCUUUGCUCUGGUUUUGCUGCUUCUCCUUAGUCUCUCAGCCUCACAAAGAUGACGCAGAAAAGUCCGUGAAUUGUCUCUCUUCCUGGAUUCUAUGAGGGGCAGAGCACGUAUGGAUCCUUCUCAAAAAACAGUUCAGCUCUCAAGACUGUUUUUCCCAACGUUAGGACUCAGAAAUCUCCCCAGAAUGCUGGCUUUCUCUUGGGAACGGAUAGAUAAGGCUUCAUGGUGGGAGUCAGUUUUGGACCUCUUGCAGCUGUGCAAAGAUUCAAGGUCACCAAGAUUGUUUUCCACAUACUUUUCUUCACCCAAGCUGAAGGGAAAAAAAAAGAAAAAAAAAUCUAAGUUAUAUAGAGGAGCCAAGAGGAGCCUAGGGAACCACAGCAACAUUUUCAGAAGUUCAGACGCAGGAGCUUCUCCAGGAAAGUGUAUCUAAAACCUCAUCCCCAGGCAGAAGCAAAAUGUGGAAGGAAGAGAUACGUACCAGUUCGAAAUAAUUUUAAAUUCCUAGAAGGAAGAAGAGAAAAUUCUCAUUUGACCCAUCCUUUUUAUCUGCAGAGAAGAAGCAAAUACUUAUAAUUCUGCUGGUACGGUGGUUCCUGAAACCCUGACCUUGCAGCUGGCUGACAAGCCUAACUUUGCUCUCUGAAGUUCAGGCUGGGUUUGAUUUCCUUUCUUCGUAUUUCUACUAAAAAUGAAACCAUCCAUGCAGGCUUCUUCCCCCCUCCCCCAAUAAAUAAAUAUUGUGACUUAUAACCCUUCCUUAUCUGCCAUUAUCUGUUCAGCCUUGAGUCUAUUGCUAUUCGCCUCUGGCAUCUGUAUGUGAGUUUAAAGCAGAAACAGGAGACUUACUUUUCUCUGGAAAUGUGUCCAAAAUAGCUUUUUGGACAGCUUCUUUCUAACUCUUGCACAGCCUGCACAUCUUUUCACUUAAAGGUAGUCCUCGACUUACAACAGUUCAUUUAGUGACCGUUCGAGGUUACAACAUCACUGGAAAAAGUGAAUCAUGACCGUUUUUCACACUGAAACAACUGUUGCAGCAUCCCC